rnacentral:sRNA from 1 species
UCCCGUUGGUGUAGGUCCAUAAACUAACGCACAUGUUACAUGAAUUCUGGAAGGAGCCAUCCUGUAGGGACAUAUUCAAGGAGUCAGAUCUUGCAGCAA